rnacentral:rRNA from 1 species
CUAUAAACCUAGCCCAACUAAACACGAAUACUUCUAGCAAUACUGGCUUCUUUUAAUAAACCAUUUUAAUAUUUUAGUAAAGGAGAUUAAAAAACCUAUUGGAGCUAUAACAACAGUACCGCAAGGGAACAGUGAAAUACAAAAUAAAAUCUUAAGCAAUAAAAAGUAAAGACUACCCCCUGUACCUUUUGCAUCAUGGUUUAACUAGUCUAAUCAAGCAAAGCGUAUUUAAGUUUGACCCCCCGAAACUAAGUGAGCUACUUCAGGGCAGCUAAAAGAGCGAACCCGUCUCUGUAGCAAAAGAGUGGGACGACCCUCAAGUAGUGGUGACAGACCUAACGAACUUAGUGAUAGCUGGUUACUCAAGAAGCGGAUAUAAGUCCAACCUGAACCACAUAACCCUAAGUUUACCAAAACAACUCCUCAUCUUUCAGCGUAAUUCGAAUAAGGUACAGCCUAUUUGAAACAGGACACAACUAAACCAACGGAUAAGAUUAGCCGACCAACAAUCAAGUCGGCUUAAAAGCAGCCAUCUUUAAAAUUGCGUCAAAGCUUAAUUGUUCCAACGCCUAAUUACCUAAUUAACAUCUUAAUCCCCAAUCAAUACUGAGUAAUUCUAUAACAUUAUAGAAAAUUUUAUGUUAAAACUAGUAACAAGAAGAAGGCCCUUCUCUUAAAUGUUAGUGUUAAUCAGAAAGGACAAACCACUGAUACUUAACAUUCUGGAACCAAAAGUAGCAACUAACCAAGAAAACUCUACCAAAAUCAAUGUCAACUAACACAAGCACAUUUUAAGAAAGAUUAAAAAGAAAAAGAAGGAACUCGGCAAAUAUUAACCCCGCCUGUUUACCAAGAACAUCGCCUCUUGAACCUAAUAGGAGGUCCAGCCUGCCCAGUGACUCUGUUCAACGGCCGCGGUAUCCUAACCGUGCGAAGGUAGCGUAAUCACUUGUUCUUUAAAUGAGGACUAGUAUGAAUGGCACCACGAAGGUUAUACUGUCUCCUUUUUUUAAUCAGUGAAACUAAUCUCCCCGUGAAGAAGCGGGGAUAAGACUAUAAGACGAGAAGACCCUAUGGAGCUUUAAACAAUAUAGCACUUACCACACAACACAAUUUUUAAAUUAAACUUCUUGGGUAACAUGACUAUAAGUUUUUGGUUGGGGUGACCACGGAGCAUAACACAACCUCCACGUUGAAGAAAUUUUAUUUUAAGCUAAGAACCACCUAUCUAAGCAUCAAUAUCUUGACAUCCAUUGACCCAAUACUUUUGAGCAACGAACCAAGUUACCCUAGGGAUAACAGCGCAAUCCACUUUAAGAGCCCAUAUCGACAAGUGGGUUUACGACCUCGAUGUUGGAUCAGGGUCUCCAAGUGGUGCAGCCGCUACUA